rnacentral:lncRNA from 1 species
CACCGUGUCACACUUCUGAGUGAUGUGAAUAACAGCAGAGGAAGCACUGAAGCACUGAAGACACAAAAAAAGCCCUUUGUGAGAAGGAGAUAUGGAGAACCUCUGCAUCUGGACUUGUGUUUAUAUGACUCUUUGCAUUACAUGCAGUCUGACUCAAGAACAGAGGAAGGAGUAUUUCGACUUGAACAGCAGUGUGAAUUUGACCUGCAUCAGUAAAAACUUGUCAUCGAUUCUGCACAAUAUAUGGAAGAUUCACAUCAAUAAUUUCAAGUGUGUAAUAGCAUCUGCUAUUGAUGAAGAUGAAAAAGAUACUUGUAAGGAUGGAAAAGUACUUCACAGCAUGAAUAAUGGAGAAUCCUACCUUCACAUUCCUCGCUUUACAAAAAAAGAUGAAGGACUUUAUCACUGUGAGACAGUGUACAGAGGGGGACGUCACUCCGCAGAAAUCAAAGUGUACGCUAGAGCCUCCCUAAGCAUAUCCACCAGGCUGGAUGCAGACCACAGGGUCGCUGUGUGUUCAGCCACAGGAGCUCCUCCAGGUGUCUCCAUCUCAUGGAGGACAUCAUGGAACUCAACCGGUAACCAGAACUGCACACCAAACCCAGAUGGCACCUUCGACAUGGAGAGCCGUGUCAGCCUGCCUGAUGGUGUCAAUAAAACUGACCUGGAGUGUAUCGUCACACAUCCUGACUGGAACAAGAACCACACUGAGAUACUUCAUGUUCCUUCUUUGCUCAGUACGUGUCAGUGGUUUUGUGAAACUUUUAAACUCUUUGACUAAUUUUGGUACAUUUGGGACAAAAGUGACUUCUCUAGGACACCUUAUAGCGUGAAGUUACUUACAGUAACUUACCCAUUAUUAUAGCUGCGGAAUUUCUAAAUUGAGCAAUAAAGAGUAAGUACCUUGUACA